rnacentral:sRNA from 1 species
GGAGGCCGGGUUGCGAGAUUACUGGAAAGCCAUUUAAGAAAUUCCUGGAAUAAUAUUAGUCAGAGUAAUAUAGGAUCUGCAGGAAGUGCCUCAAGAUAGUUGGAAAAGAAGAAUUUCUGGACUCUUCAUCAAGAUCUUCAUUUAUACAGCUGUUAAAUCCAAGGCUACUUUGGUGAAAGCAUGAAUAAAAAUACAUCUACUGUAGUAUCAUCCAGUCUACUUGAAAAGGAUCCUGCCUUUCAGAUGAUUACAGUUACCAAGGAAACAGGCCUUGGCCUGAAGGUACUAGGAGGAAUUAACCGGAAUGAAGGCCCAUUGGUAUAUAUUCAGGAAAUUAUUCCUGGAGGAGACUGUUAUAAGUGAAUUUAUAUCCAUUGUGACCAUACCUCAGUGAAAAAUACGAAGGAAUUAGAAGAUAAGACUAUUGGCCUCAAGGAGCUUUAAACUAAGAAAUAAAUAGGUUCUUCUUCUAUGAAAAUAAUAGAUAUUUCUGACUGUAAGAUAAGGUUAUUAUUUUUAAAUUACAUGCUGUUCAACUUUUAUCCUGUAUCUGAUUAAGAGAAAUUAUAUUUGAUGACUUGUUAUCUUUCUACUACUUUGAGUUUUUAUUAAGUUGGAUCAGUAGAACUUUAAUUACAUUCAUUUAGCCUCUACUAAAUGCAAAACAAAACAGAAACAGCAAACAAAAUCUAAUUUCUGAAUUCGCAGUUCUUGUUGAGCUAAUGAGUUUUAUCACUCAUUAAAACCAGAAAAUGUCUUUUUUUAGGAAUUAGAAAGUCUUACUCUCCUCUUCAGUGUAAGAAAUAUAUUAUAUAAUGAGCUCCCUUUCACUUUGGUUGGUAGGAAUCUCAGACCCAAAUUUGAAGGACAACCCCAGCAAUUUAACAAACUGGUUACUAUAUUUGAAUUCUCAUUCUUCUUGGAUUUCAUUUGCUAUUUCUGUUUUACUAAAGUGAUUAUGUGUCAUUUUUUGAAAAUUGCCUCCAUUUGAUUUUGGAGAGAUAUCAGAUAUAAAGAAUUUAAUAAAAUUAUAUUAAUAAUUAAGAAUUAAUAAAAUUAAUAAAAUAUUCUCCAUUUGAUUGCCUCCAUUUGAUUUUGGAGAGAUAUCAGAUAUAAAUAAUUUAAUAAAAUUAUGUUAAUUAAGAAUUAAUAAAAUAUUCUAUUAAUAUCAA